rnacentral:rRNA from 1 species
UUGAUCCUGCCGGAGGCUACCGCUAUGGAGUUCGAUUAAGCCAUGCGAGUCGAGAGUCCUCGGGACUCGGCGUACCGCUCAGUAACACGUGGGUAACCUGCCCUAUGCUGGGGAAUAACCUCGGGAAACUGAGAAUAAUGCCCCAUAGCCCACUACGCCUGGAACGGUGAGUGGGUCAAAGCUCCGGCGGCAUAGGAUGGGCCUGCGCCGUAUCAGGUUGUAGGGGGUGUAAAGUACCCUCUAGCCAUCAACGCGUACGGGUGUUGGGAGACAUUGCCCGGAGAUGGAUUCUGAGACACGAAUCCAGACCCUACGGGGUGCAGCAGGCGCGAAAACUUGGCAAUGCGAGAAAUCGUGACCAGGGAACUCCAAGUGCGUAGGGUAAGACCUACGCUUUUCUUGACUCUUCAAAGGUCUUGGAAUAAGGGGUGGGUAAGGACGGUGCCAGCCGCCGCGGUAAUACCGGCGCCUCAAGUGGUAGUCGCUUUUAUUGGGCCUAAAACGUCCGUAGCCGGUCUGGUGCAUUCGUGGGUAAAUCAAACCAGCUCAACGGGUUGAAUUCUGCGAGCACGGACAGACUUGGGACCGGGAGAGGUGUGGGGUACUCUCAGGGUAGGGGUAAAAUCCUGUCAUCCUGAGACGACACCUGUUGGAACGCGCACAUAGACGGAUCGACGGCAGGACGAACUAGGGACAA